GGAGAGAUGGCCGAGUGGCUGAAGGCGCUCCCCUGCUAAGGGAGUAUACGGUUUGUAGCCGUAUCGGGGGUUCGAAUCCCCCUCUCUUCGCCA
rnacentral:tRNA from 1 species